GCAGCCCCCGGCGCCCGCCGGUGCGUGUGGCCGCGGCACCUCGCUGUGCUACGAGGCUGGGAUGUCGCUCGCCUCAGCUGCUUUUGCUACGGAGUCUUUGCUCGAAGGAACCCGCAGCUGUAACCCGUUUCGAGCCGCCUCUUUGGUAAUGGCUCCUCCUCGCAACCCCCCGGUGCGUCCGAGCCCGCCGCCGCUCGCAGCCCCGAGCUAUCUCAACUGCCCCGCUGGUGUCAGCCCCUCAGCCCGAGCGGCUUUUGCUCCAGGCUGCCGCCCCUAUCCCAGAGCUGGGCCACCUACUUCGAGCCCUCCGGAUCGCGCCCGCAACUCCCCGUUGUCCUGCCCCCGCGCCGGAGUCAAGUGGCUAAGGGGCGACGGGCGCCGCCGCCUCCGGCGGGGAGGGAAAAGGCGGGCGGUGUCGCAGGGGUUUCCUCGCUGCAUUCAAAAGCCGUGGCUAAAGCCAAACGCUUCCGCUCCUGCCCGAAGCCGGGAGAGCGCAGCAAGACCUUGGGCAACAGCAAGGAGUAAUUCUCAGUUGCUGAUGGAUACAAACUGCAGUACAAUUACCUAUCACACUGCUGACUGUGUUCAUUUAUCAUAUGGUAUGCCAACCUACCAGGAUUCACAGGAUUCAGUACAGACAGUUUCUCCCACAGGUGGUGGGAUGGUGUCCUCUGCCCCUGCUCUUCAGCUUUAAGCAGCCUCAUGAAGCUUCAGCCAUCAACAUGAUCAAGUAUUCAGCAUCUCUGAGGCACCCAAGGGCUGAUGCUGUUUGCAUGAAGGACUUGGACUCCUCACUGUGGGUAUUUGGAGACUUCGUUCUUCUGCAGACAAGUGUAUCUUAACACUCCAUUGGCAAGUUGUCCAAGAAAUGACUAGUCAUCUCCAUCUUUCAAAAGCAAGACUUCUAAGAGACGCUUAAAAGCUUUUUGGAUCUGCUUAAGUUGU